CCGCGGCCGGAGCGCCGAGUCGGGGUCUUACUCGUCUGUGUCCUCCGCUCCUGGGGGCACAGCCUCGCGGCCCCGUGACCUGCAGGCCUUGGGAGAUCCGCAGCUGAGACGCCGGGACCCCCUGGACGCCUAGACAUGGGGCCGUUGACAUUUAGGGAUGUGGCCAUCGAAUUCUCUCUGGAGGAGUGGCAGUGCCUGGACACUGCUCAGCAGGAUUUGUAUAGAAAAGUGAUGUUAGAGAACUACAGAAACCUGGUCUUCUUGGGUAUUGCUGUCUCUAAGCCAGACCUAAUCACCUGUCUGGAGCAAGGAAAAGAGCCCUGGAAUAUGAAGCGACAUGAGAUGGUGGAUGAACCCCCAGCUAUGUGUUCCUAUUUUGUGAAAGACCUUUGGCCAGAGCAAGACAUAAAAGAUUCUUUUCAAGAAGUAAUACUGAGAAGAUAUGGAAAAUGUGGACAUGAGAAUUUACAGUUAAAAAAAGGCUCAGCAAGUGUAGAUAAGUGUAAGGUGCACAAAGAAGGUUAUAAUGAACUAAACCAGUGUUUGACAACUACCCAGAGUGAAAUAGUUCGAUGUGAUAAAUAUAUGAAAGUCUUUCUUAAAUGUUUGAAUUCAAAUGGACAUAAGACAAGACGUACUGGAAAGAAAACUUUCAAAUGUAAAAAAUGUGACAAAUCAUUUUGCAUGCAUUUAUACCUAUGUCAAAAUAAAAGAAUUCAUAUUAGAGAGAAUUCUUACCAAUGUGAAGAAUGUGGCAAAGUCUUUAAGCGGGCCUCACACCUUUCUAGACACACGAGAAUCCAUGCUGGAGAGAAACCUUUCAAAUGUGAAGAAUGUGGCAAAGUCUUUAUGCGGCUCUCAGCCCUUUCUACACACAAGAGAAUCCAUACUGGAGAGAAACCUUUCAAAUGCGAAGAAUGUGGCAAAGCUUUUAAACACUCCUCAACCCUUACUACACAUAAGAUGAUUCAUACUGGAGAGAAACCCUACAGAUGUGAAGAAUGUGGCAAAGCCUUCAACACAUCCUCACACCUUACUGCACAUAAGAUAAUUCAUACUGGAGAGAAACCCUACAAAUGUGAAGAAUGUGGAAAAGCUUUUAACCAUUCUUCAUCUCUUACUACACAUAAGUUCAUUCAUGCCGGAGAAAAACCCUUCAAAUGUGAAGAAUGUGACAAAACUUUUUGUCGAUUCUCAUUCCUUACUAAACAUAAGAUAAUUCAUACUGGAGAGAAAUUUUACAAAUGUGAAGAAUGUGGCAAAGGCUUUUACUGGUUUUCAACCCUUACUAAACAUAAGAAGAUUCAUACUGGAGAGAAACCCUACAAAUGUGAAGAAUGUGGCAAAACCUUUAAUGUGUCUUCAAACCUUGCUACACAUAAGAUGAUUCAUACUGGAAAGAAACCCUACAAAUGUGAAGAAUGUGGCAAAGGCUUUUACUGGUUUUCAACCCUUACUAAACAUAAGAUAAUUCAUACUGGAGAGAAACCUUACAAAUGUGAAGAAUGUGGCAAAGCUUUUAACCAAUCCUCAAACCUUACUACACAUAAGAUAAUUCAUACUGGAGAGAAGUCUUACAAAUGUGAAGAAUGUGGCAAAGCUUUUACCCAUUCCUCACACCUUACUUCACAUAGGAGAAUUCACACUGGAGAGAAACCCUACAAAUGUGAAGAAUGUGGCAAAGCUUUUAACCAAUCCUCAAAUCUUAGUAAACAUAAGAUAAUUCAUAUUGGAUAGAAGUCUUACAAAUCUAAAGAAUGUGAUAAAGCCUUUAACCAAACCUCAACUCUUACUAAAUAUAGGAAGAAUUAUCCUUGAAAUUUUAUCCUUGAAAAAUUAUUCCUACAACUGUGAAGAAUGUGGAAAUUCUCUCAACCACAUGUCCUCAACUCUUAAAAAGCGUUUAAAAAAUACUGUAUAGAAAUCCUAUGAGUGUGAAAAACAUGGCAAAGCCUUUAACAACAUAUGGAGUUUCACUCUUAGAUGUAAGAUGAGACGUACUGGAAAAAAUCAUUUCAGAUGUAAAAAAUGUGACAAAUCAUUUUGUAUGCUUUCACAACUAACACAACAUGAGAUAAGUCAUGCUGGAGAGAAACCCUACGCUUGUGAAGAAUGUGGCAAAGCUUUUAAAAAGUCCUCAACCCUUACUAAUCAUAAGAUAAUUCAUACUGGAGAGAAGCCCUACAAAUGUGAUGAAUGUGGAAAAGCUUUCAACCAGUCCUCAACUCUCACUAGACAUAAGAUAAUUCAUACUGGAGAGAAACUCUACAAAUGUGAAGAAUGUGGCAAAGCUUUUAAUCGGUCCUCAAACCUUUCUAAACAUAAGAUAAUUCAUACUGGAGAGAAACCCUACAAAUGUAAAGAAUGUGGCAAAGCUUUUAAACAGUCCUCAAACCUUACUAAUCAUAAGAAAAUUCAUACUGGAGAGAAACCCUACAAAUGUGAAGAAUGUGGCAAAGCCUUUACCCUAUCUUCACACCUUACUACACAUAAGAGAAUUCACACUGGAGAGAAACCCUACAAAUGUGAAGAAUGUGGCAAAGCCUUUAGUGUAUUCUCAACCCUUAGUAAACAUAAGAUAAUUCAUACUGAAGAGAAACCCUACAAAUGUGAAGAAUGUGGCAGAGCUUUUAACCGGGCCUCACACCUUACUAAUCAUAAGGUAAUUCAUACUGGAGAGAAACCCUACAAAUGUGAAGAAUGUGGUAAAGCCUUUACCAAGUCCUCAACUCUUACUUACCAUAAGGUAAUUCAUACUGGAAAGAAACCCUACAAAUGUGAAGAAUGUGGUAAAGCCUUUAGUAUAUUCUCAAUCCUUACUAAACAUAAGGUAAUUCAUACUGAAGAGAAACCCUACAAAUGUGAAGAAUGUGGCAAAACUUUUAACUACUCCUCAAAUUUUACUAAUCAUAAAAAAAUUCAUACUGGAGAGAAACCCUAUAAAUGUGAAGAAUGUGGGAAAGACUUUAUUCUGUCCUCACACCUUACUACACAUAAGAUGAUUCAUACUGGGGAGAGACCCUACAAAUGUAAACAAUGUGGCAAAGCCUUUAACCAGUCCUCAACUCUUAUGAAACAUAAGAUAAUUCAUACUGGCGAGAAACCCUACAAAUGUGAACAAUGUGGCAAAGCCUUUAACCAGUCCCCAAACCUUAAUAAACAUAAGAGAAUUCAUACCAAAGAGAACCCCUACAAAUGUAAAUAAUGUGUCAAAGCAUUUAAUAUAUUUUCCACUUUUAUUAAAACACAAGAUAAUUCGUACUAGAGACAACCCCUAUAAAUGUGAUAAAUGUGGCAAAGCCCUUAACCAGCUCUUAAUCCUUACUGAACAUAACAUAAUUCAUACUAGAGAGAAACCAGCAAAUGUAAAGAAUGUGGAAGCAUUUAACUAAUCCUCAAACCUUACUAAACGUAAGAAAAUUCAUACUGGAAAGAAGCUACAAACCUGGAAGACAUCAGUAAUUUUGACAACACCUCAAACUUUUCUAAACAUGAAAGAUCGUACUGGCGAGAAACUUUAAAAAUGUAAAAAAUUUGACAAAAACCUUUAAAUGAUUGUCACACUUGAUUGUAGGUGAUUCUUACUAGACAAACUCUUACAAGUGUGAAGAAUGGCAAUUAUUAUU